rfam:Glycine max cultivar Williams 82 chromosome 13, whole genome shotgun sequence.
AGCCGUGUGAUAAUUACAAAGCGAACUAUUCUUUCGCCUUUUACUAAAGAAUACCGUGUAUUUGUCACCUACAGCGGCAUACGCUAAUUUUUGUAAUAGGGUCUUUGAAAGAGGACC